CCUACGGGAGGCAGCAGUGGGGAAUCUUGCGCAAUGGGCGAAAGCCUGACGCAGCAACGCCGCGUGCGGGAAGAAGGCUUUCGGGCUGUAAACCGCUUUCAGCAGGAACGAAAAUGACGGUACCUGCAGAAGAAGGAGCGGCCAACUAUGUGCCAGCAGCCGCGGUGAUACAUAGGCUUCCAGCGUUGUCCGGAUUUAUUGGGCGUAAAGANUUNGUAGGCGGUCGAGUAAGUCGGGUGUGAAAAUUCUGGGCUCAACCCAGAGACGCCCCCCGAUACUGCUUAACUUGAGUUCGAUAGGGGAGUGGGGAAUUCCUAGUGUAGCGGUGAAAUGCGCAGAUAUUAGGAGGAACCCCNGUGGCGAAGGCCCCACUUUGGAUCGACACUGACGCUGAGGAACGAAAGCAUGGGUAGCAAACAGGAUUAGAUACCCUGGUAGUUCCAUCCGGUAAAACGGUGGGCAACUAGGUGUGGGUUUCUAUUAACGAAAUCCGCGCCGUCGCUAACGCAUUAAGUGCCCC
rnacentral:rRNA from 1 species